UAUGGCCGUAUCUCGUUGAAACACCAGCUCCCGUACAAUCACUGAAGUUAAGCAACGUCGGGCUUGGUCAGCACCUAGAUGAGUGACCGCUUGGGAAUACC